rnacentral:rRNA from 1 species
AUGAGGACCUCCAUCCAUGGCUGCUCUCUUCGUCAGCCAAGCAUGCGCGCCGGCCGACGGCAGCCCUCCUCCGUCUCCGCGAGCGCCACUCGUCUCCCUCGGCAGAUCAUAUCGGCUGCAAAGGAGCUUCACCAACAGCUUGCUUUGAGAAUUGGGGAUGCAUCAUCAAACGCUCUCAAUUAUGCGUCGCAAAGGUUGCUGGAUGCAUUUGUGGGCAUCGUCUUCACAUUAAGUCGCCAACCUUUACGUCCCACCGAGGGUAAUUUUGCACCCGUCGAAGAGAUCGGCGACAUGCGAGAGAUAUUUGAUAUCGCAGGAGAGAUUCCAGCAGAUUUUCCAGAGGGUGUUUAUAUAAGAAAUGGUUCAAACCCUCUCUUUGGAGCCCUCCACUCGUCAAGCUCUAUCUUUGGCAAGUCCCACGACAUUUGGGUCGAAGGAGAAGGCAUGCUCCACGCCGUGUACUUCACCAAGAGCAACAACAACACAUGGUCAAUCAAGUACACCAACCGCUACGUGCAGUCCGAUACAUUUAGGGUUGAGAAAGGACUGAAGAAACCAUGCUUCCUCCCUGCCACUGACGGUGACCCUCUUGCGAUGCUCAUAGCGGGUACCCUUAAUACUCUGAGGUUCGGAAAGGCUUUCAAGAACAUGAGCAACACCAGCGUGUUUGAGCAUGCUGGGAGAGUCUUCUCAGCAGCAGAAAAUGAUAACCCCCAUGAGAUUGACUUGUAUAGUCUUGGCACACUGGGUAGCUGGAAUGUUGAUGGAGGAUGGAAGAUGCCAUUCACUGCCCACCCCAAGGUAAUCCCUGGAACAGGAGAGUUGGUUAUCUUCGGGUUCAACGUGGAUGCGCCUUUUCUAACGGUUGGAGUUGUCUCAGCCGACGGGAAGAAACUACAGCAAAAGGUUGCUCUCGAGUUAGAUAGAUGCACAUAUUGUCACGAAAUAGGAGUCACUACAAUGUACAACAUUAUCUUAGAUGCUCCACUUACAAUCAACAAGGAAAGGAUGCUAAAAGGUGCUCCGUUGAUUGAAUUUGAAAAGGAUAGCUAUGCAAGAAUAGGUGUUAUGCCCCGUUAUGGUGAUGCAAACUCGAUAACAUGGUUUUAUGUACAAUCAUUCUGCACGAUCCAUCUUGUCAACUGCUUUGAAGAAGAUGAUGAGGUCGUUGUGAGAGGAUUUCAUGUGCCAGGUUCUAUCAUUUUGGGGCCAAGGAUAAACUCCAAUCAAGGACUAACCGAGGAAUGUUUUUCUCGCUUGUAUGAGUGGAGACUAAACUUGAAAACAAGGACAGCUAUAGGCAAAUACUUAACUGGAAAAGAGGUUGCCCUGGAAUUCCCAGUAAUCAAUGACAAGUAUGUUGGCUUGCCUCACAAGUAUGCAUAUGCACAAGUGGCAGAUUCUCCGGCAAAUUUGGCAGGUGGUCCAGGAAUAGUACGACCAAAAUUCGGAGGUUUUUCAAAAAUUUGUCUUGAUGAGAAAGAGGACGCAACCACCAAGAACAAAGGCAGAGAAGACCUCAUAAAAGUGAAGUAUCAUCACCUUGACAGAAAUCAAUUCUGCUCUGGAGCAACUUUUGUGCCAAAGGUCAAUGGUACAAACGAAGACGAUGGCUGGAUAGUUUCGUUUGUGCAUGAUGAGGGGACAAAUAAAUCUAAAGUGCACAUCAUCAACGCACAAACAUUUGAGUAUGAGCCUAUUGCCAAGAUAACACUGCCGCAAAGAGUGCCAUAUGGUUUUCAUGGAGCAUUUAUAUCAAAAAGUACAUGA